rnacentral:rRNA from 1 species
CAGGCGCANGAUAGGCAUGCAAGUCGAACGAGAAAAUUUAAAUUGAUCCUUCGGGUGAUUUUUAAAUUGGAAAGUGGCAAAAGGGUGAGUAAUGCAUGGGUAAUCUGCCUUUAAGUGGGGAAUAACUUCGUGAAAACGGAGCUAAUACCGCAUGAGACCACAGUUACUUAGGUAACAGAGGUCAAAGAGGGCCUCUAUUUAUAAGCUCUUGCUUAAAGAUGAGCCCAUGUCCUAUUAGUUUGUUGGUAAGGUAAUGGCUUACCAAGGCUAUGAUGGGUAGCCGGCCUGAGAGGGUGACCGGCCACACUGGGACUGAGACACUGCCCAGACUCCUACGGGAGGCUGCAGUCGAGAAUCUUUCGCAAUGGACGCAAGUCUGACGAAGCGAUGCCGCGUGAGUGACGACGGCUUUCGGGUUGUAAAACUCUGUCACAAGGGACGAAGUGCGUAAAGAUUAAUACUCUUUAUGUUUGACGGUACCUUGAGAGGAAGCCCCGGCUAACUCCGUGCCAGCAGCCGCGGUAAUACGGAGGGGGCAAGCGUUGUUCGGAUUUACUGGGCGUAAAGGGCGUGUAGGUGGUUUUAUAAGUUGGAUGUGAAAUCCCUCAGCUUAACUGAGGAACUGCAUUCAAAACUGUUUGACUAGAGUGCGAACGGGGAAAGUGGAAUUCCUGGUGUAGCGGUGAAAUGUGUAGAUAUCAGGAGGAACACCGGUGGCGAAGGCGGCUUUCUAGUUCGAUACUGACACUGAGGCGCGAAAGCUAGGGGAGCAAACAGGAUUAGAUACCCUGGUAGUCCUAGCCGUAAACGAUGAAUACUAGGUGUAAGAAGGAUACUUCUUGUGCCGUAG